UACAGAGGUGGCAAGCGUUGUUCGGAAUUACUGGGCGUAAAGGGCGCGUAGGCGGUUCGAUAAGUCCCGUGUGAAAUCCCUCGGCUCAACUGAGGAAUGGCACGGGAAACUGACGGGCUUGAGUUCGGGAGAGGGAAGCGGAAUUCCGGGUGUAGCGGUGAAAUGCGUAGAUAUCGGGAGGAACACCUAUGGCGAAGGCAGCUCGCUGGGACGUUACUGACGCUGAGACGCGAAAGCGUGGGGAGCAAACAGG
rnacentral:rRNA from 1 species